rnacentral:miRNA from 1 species
AUAGUGCUAGGAGUUGAAGACAGCGACUUUAACAAGGGUGCUCUUAAAAUCUAUUACCAUCUGUGCCGCCACCAUUUCUGGUCUGUAGACAUCA